rnacentral:rRNA from 1 species
UGCCAGCCGCCGCGGUAACACGGGGGGCGCAAGCGUUAUUCGGAAUUAUUGGGCGUAAAGCGCGCGUAGGUGGUUUGUUAAGUCGGAUGUGAAAGCCCUGGGCUCAACCUGGGAAUUGCAUUCGAUACUGGCUAACUAGAGUGCGAGAGAGGGAGGUAGAAUUCCACGUGUAGCGGUGAAAUGCGUAGAUAUAGGAAGGAACACCAGUGGCGAAGGCGACUACCUGGACCGAUAUUGACACUGAGGUGCGAAAGCGUGGGGAGCAAACAGGAUUAGAUA